AUCCUUUUGUACGUCACAAGCAUGAUGACUAGGUGUUCACGUGAAUGUGUGAUCUGUGCCUCUUUUGAACCUUGUUAUGACAUUGGCACAUUAUCUAAUGUAAAA
ensembl:snoRNA